GACGAACCGUCCAAACGUUAUUCGGUAUCACUGGGCUUAAAGCGUGCGUAGGCGGCUUGGUAGGUGAGAUGUGAAAGCCCACGGCUCAACCGUGGAAUUGCGUUUCAAACCCCCAAGCUCGAGGAAGAUAGGGGUGAUGGGAACUUAUGGUGGAGCGGUGAAAUGCGUUGAUAUCAUAGGGAACACCGGUGGCGAAAGCGCAUCACUGGAUCUUUUCUGACGCUGAGGCACGAAAGCUAGGGUAGCGAACGGG
rnacentral:rRNA from 1 species